AUGGCUUUCUUCGGCGGCAGCAGCAGCACCGGUGGCGGCGCCGCCGCCGACGCCCCCGGCGCAUGGCCGACGAGCAUCGGAGGGCCGGAGACGGAGGAGCUCCACCACUACUGCCUCCCCGUGCCGCCGGGCUGCCGUCUAGCGCGCAACUGGAAGAUCGACGCGGAGGGCUUUGCGACGUUCGGUCCCGGCGCGACGAAGGAGGAGCUCCGCAACCACAGCGGCGGCCGGCACAACAUCGAAGGCCGAAAGCGGUUUUGGCGCGGGAAGGACUAUUGGGAGGUGAUGGCGGCCUUCCGCCUUGCCGCGGCCGGCGAGACCCCCGAUCUGACGGGCCGCAGCGGCCGUCUUCGCGCACCGCCUCCACCGCAAUAUCGCCGCAGACGUGGCGGCGGCCACGGUGUGUACCCGGCACGGGCGCCCGCGCCGGCCGCCCCUCCCUUGCCGCCGGGGAUCGAGUUGCCGCCGGAGCAGGUCAUCCUCCGCGAGGACGGUGAUCCGGAUGACACGCCGGGGUACCACGUCGCCCUACGGGCGUCGGAGGCUGCAGCGGCGGCAGCGGAGGCGACGGAGGCCGCCGAGAUUGCGGACGCAAUCUAG
rnacentral:rRNA from 1 species